GCGGAAGUGGCGGAAUUGGCAGACGCGCUGGGUUCAGGGUCCAGUGAGGGCAACCUCAUGGGGGUUCAAAUCCCCCCUUCCGCA
rnacentral:tRNA from 1 species